UACGAAUCGUCCUAACGUUGUUCGGAUUCACUGGGUUUAAAGGGUGCGUAGGCGGUGCGUUAAGUCGGUGGUGAAAUACUUUGGCUCAACCAGAGAAUUGCCGCUGAAACUGCCGUGCUCGAGGGAGAUAGAGGUGAGCGGAACUUAGGGUGGAGCGGUGAAAUGCGUUGAUAUCCUAAGGAACACCGGUGGCGAAAGCGGCUCACUGGAUCUCUUCUGACGCUGAGGCACGAAAGCUAGGGUAGCGAACGGGAUUAGAAACCCGGGUAGU
rnacentral:rRNA from 1 species